AUUUAAAAAUAUAAUUAGCACAAUUUUCCAGAAUGUUCAUCAGGGAAUGAAUUUAUAAGUUGUUAUAUAAAGGAUUUUCCUGAAAAAUAAAGUCUUCACGAGGCAAGAAUUCUUGCAGUGAGUUCUGUGGCUAAUCCUUCCCUUUGAGGCAGUGUUUGUAGGGGAUGGAGGGAGUUAGUACUCACUGUAGGGGAUGGAGGGAGUUACUACCCACUGUAGGGGAUGGAGGGAGUUACUACCCACUGUAGGGGAUGGAGGAGUCACUACCCACUGUAGGGGAUGGAGGAGUCACUACCCACUGUAGGGAUGGAGGAGUUACCACCCACUGUAGGGGAUGGAGGAGUUAUUACUCACUGUAGGGAUGGAGGAGUUACUACCCACUGUAGGGGAUGGGGGAGUUACCACCCACUGUAGGGAUGGAGGAGUUACCACCCACUGUAGGGGAUGGAGGAGUUACUACCCACUGUAGGGGAUGGAGGAGUUACUACCCACUGUAGGGGAUGGAGGAGUUACCACCCACUGUAGGGGAUGGAGGAGUUACCACCCACUGUAGGGAUGGGGGAGUUACCACCCACUGUAGGGGAUGGAGGGAGUUACUACCCACUGUAGGGGAUGGAGGGAGUUACUACCCACUGGCUGACAGAUUUUCAUGGCCGGAGUUACAGUCACGGUGAUUUUGCUUAUUUAAGUAAAAUUUUAUUAUCUCUACUAUGAAAGGUGUAAAGUCACAGGAAACGGAAAAUCAGGAUCAACUCAUACUGAAAUGCAGCUAGAAAGUGGGUUUUGAAGAUUGAGUCAGAAAUUAAAAAUGCCUUUUGUGUGUAUCUGUUUUUUAUCAUGAUGAAAAUCAAUGGUUUCCCUUAUCCUGUGCAUCAAAUGCAAAUAGCUGCUGAAGUAGCUGCUCUUGCCCUGGUCUGUGCACUAUUUAGCUCCAGGGCACUUCCAAACAUUUGUGGGAAAAAAUGAAGUGGCAAGAUAAGUUUGUUUCAGGGCAAAUAAUUUUGAGAUCUAUGCACAACGUUUUCAUAACUUGUAUUUUCUGGGAACUUCAUGAAGAUCCCUCUGUAUACCUGGGUUGAAAAGUUUCUUUCCCACUGAAUAAACUCACCUCUCGGCUCCA
rnacentral:lncRNA from 1 species